UUCCAGACUCCUACGGGAGGCAGCAGUGGGGAAUAUUGCACGAUGGGGGAAACCCUGAUGCAGCGACGCCGCGUGAGUGAAGAAGUACUUCGUUAUGUAAAGCUCUAUCAGCAGGGAAGAAAAUGACGGUACCUGAGUAAGAAGCCCCGGCUAACUACGUGCCAGCAGCCGCGGUAAUACGUAGGGGGCAAGCGUUAUCCGGAUUUACUGGGUGUAAAGGGAGCGUAGACGGCAGUGCAAGUCUGGAGUGAAAGGCGGGGGCUCAACCCCCGGACUGCUCUGGAAACUGUACGGCUGGAGUGCAGGAGAGGUAAGUGGAAUUCCUAGUGUAGCGGUGAAAUGCGUAGAUAUUAGGAGGAACACCAGUGGCGAAGGCGGCUUACUGGACUGUAACUGACGUUGAGGCUCGAAAGCGUGGGGAGCAAACAGGAUUAGAUACCCCUGUA
rnacentral:rRNA from 1 species